UAGUCUCUAGUAAAUACAUUACGCGGCUGUGUCAAAGCCGAAUAACAACCAUAGCUGUGGGACUAA
rnacentral:tRNA from 1 species